CAGUAUCUUUUACUUUUAUUUUAAGAUACAUUGUUUUGUUUUGUUUUGUUUUUUCUAUGAGGCAUCAUGUCACUGUUUUCCUGUCAUCUUUGGCUGGAUGGACUUAUGGGGCUGACAUAGGAUGGUGGAAUAUACAUGACAAUAUAUUGUAUAAACAGGGACUUUUAACCCAUAUCCUUGUUUUGUUUAAAUUCAUUUUAUUUCCACUUUCAAAAGUAUAUGGUGCUGAAAGUACAAAAACCCAUGAGGCUUUUGCCAAGCAAAGAACAAGUUUGGCAGCUACAGUGUGGCCAGGAAAAUGUAGAUGUUAAGAACCCCCUUAAGAAAGAAGUGAAGAGGUGUGCAGAGAUCUUGAGAGAAAUCAGGAGACAGAUUUUGAAGUAUGAAAAUGAAGAAGCCUGCUUGGAGAAGACAUUAUGGUAAAUACUAAGGAUCAGAAAGGCUUUCAGGAAACAAAAGUCUGCAUCUUUUGGAGCCUGUGACCUGGUGGGAGAAGGGCUGAGCAGCGGUCCCUCUGUGCUUCUCCCUGCCUGGAGUUACAUACUGAAAUCACUGCAGGCAUUUGACUGCUUCAUGUAGCCCCAGAAGUUUUACUGUGGGUCAUCUCAGAGCCAAAACUAGAAACAAGCACCUCUGAAAUAGAACCCGACGAAUGUGAAAGAAGCAUUUCUGAAGAGGUACCUGCCAGCAAGACUUGUUCCUUUGCCACAGGGGUGCUGGGCAAAAG